UUGACAAGGUCAAGUGGAAGCAUCUGGCAAUGAGUGACUCACUCAAGGCUGCCUUGUGAGUCAGCAGUGCAGGCUGGCAGGGCUCAGGAAUGCUGAUGGCUGGGUCUCCUGCUUUCCCUGUGGUUGCCCUAGCAAAGCUCUCUUCGGUCUCAGAAGAUAAGCAUUGACUGGAGUCACAGAUAUAGCCGAAGAUACUGUUCCCAGGAUGGGGAUUCCUCUGCACCAGUUACUUUAAUCAGCCAGUUUGGGAUAGAGAUAUGCAACUAUACAUGCAUAGGAGCAAGAAGAAAACUGAAUCAAUCAAACCUGCACAGAGCAACAUUAAGCACUGUAAGUCUUGAUUAAAGCUCAUUUUUGAAGUACAAUUUGGCCCAAA